AAUGCCUUCUUGGCCGUAGGCUUCGAACACUAACGUCUUUCCUGCAUCAUCACGUGGCCCACUGCCCCUGCAUUUCCGCGGCUCGAGGUCUGUGCAUCCGGGAAUUCUACUCCACUGCCCCCUCUACUGGAGGGAGGAUGACCGACUCACACACCAUUCCUUCCACUGUGGACCAGCCUAGCUCAGGCACAGUUCGGCUUGAAGACACAGAAGCCCGGGAGCGGCAGAGACUGGUGGCUACAUUCGGAGGACAAUGGAGUUGCCACAGCCUUUGUGUUUUCAUUUCCCUGCUGCUUUUCCUCUGAGCGCAGCAUGUUCUCAGACCUCAUUCUGUGACUGAAGUCGUGGCAAUUACCCUAUAAGGUGAAGGCAAGGAGUCAGGACAAGCCCCACGGAGGUCAGAAGGGCCCAGAUCUCCUGGCAUGCUGCUUUCCUUGCCCUGGGCUGCUGGCUUGCCAUAAGGCCUGCUAAUAGACCAUUUUGUAGCCUUUUUAGAGCUGUUUGCGGAAAAUCAAGAGACUUUACUUGCAGCUAAGAAAAGAAAAUAUGAUCAACUUUCAAUUCCGGUUUUUAUAUUCUGGGCUGCUAGCUGGCAACCUUUUCCGGCUCCGGGACACCUGAGAAAUAGCACAACUACAACAGGGGUUAUGUGCUCUGUAAUCCUUUUUACCCAGAUUCUGAAUCAGAACUAGCCUCUUGCCCAGCUGUGCACCCCAAGCCCUCUCCAGGGGGUACGACAGACAGACGGCUCAGGCGCGGGACAGGCAAGCGUAGUUUGGAAAAGUUGCCUCCCUAGGUCUGCGGUUGUCAGAGCGGCGUCCUUCGCUCCGCAGAAAUACGAAUCCUCAGCCCCACCCCAGACCCGCGCUUCAGAAACCCGGGGGCUGCGCCCAGGGAGCCCUCCAGGUGAGUGUGAGUGCGGGCCUGGCUCCAGGCAAGUCUCUGACUUCCAUCUGUCCCCCCACGAAGAGUCAGGGUUCCAGAACAGCGCCUCUCAGCCUCACCUGGGAGCUUGCACAAACUAGGGAGGCCCUAGCUCCAACCCCUAGGGGCUCUGAUUGGACUCAUCCGCCAGGGGGCGCAACCACAGCUCUUCACGUGGUUCUAACGGACUGCCGGGUUCAAGAACCACUCGUGCUGUUCUCUUUGCAGACUUCGCAGCCCCACGAGGAACCACCUGUUUCUUCCCCACCGCCUCUUCCCAGCACAGAAGGAAAUAAACUGGUCCAGCUGGUAUUACUGCUUGUAAUGCACCAGCCAGGGAGACGACAGGAGAUAAGACAGAACCCUGCCAAAGGCGGGAGCUUGGACUCUAACUCUCCACCCCUAGUGCUGGCUUAGGGGCUUCGGCAAAAUGAAUUCCUCUGAUGUUCUACGCUUCAGCUGCCUCACCCCCAAACAGAAAUUGCGUUAAUAAUUACUUCCUUUCUUCAGGUCAGAUAAGCCAGCUGAAGUCUUUCCUAGCAGAAAAGUACAUUUCAGAUUCUAAGGGCUUUUAAAAGGGUUGACAAAUAUGAGUGGAGCCAAAAAGAAGUUGGUACUCAGGCAAAGAGAUGCCCCAAAGGAAGCCGCUACAGUGCCCUCCGGAGGCCAGGUCUUCAGUCCCAUCAUGCCACCUAGAAAUUCUCAGGGACACAGUGAUUUGGCCAAGAAGGGAAGAGGACCCUGUUCUUGAAGCUUUAUCAAGAUUUUUCCUUCUGCUUUCUCUCCGUAUUCCUUUUCCUCCUCCCCUUCAACUUUC